GUCUACGGCCAUACCACGUUGAAAACACCGGUUCUCGUCCGAUCACCGAAAUUAAGCAACGUCGGGCCCGGAUAGUACUUGGAUGGGUGACCGCCUGGGGAACACCGGGUGCAGUAGACA
rnacentral:rRNA from 1 species